rnacentral:rRNA from 1 species
UACGUAGGGGGCGAGCGUUACCCGGAAUUACUGGGCGUAAAGGGGGCGUAGGCGGCCCGGCAAGUCAAGUGUGAAAUCCGGCGGCUCAACCGCUGGGCUGCGCUUGAAACUGCCGGGCUUGAGUGCAGCAGAGGGAGACGGAAUUGCCGGUGUAGGGGUGAAAUGCGUAGAGAUCAGGAGGAACACCGAUGGCGAAGGCAGCCCCCUGGGCCUGUACUGACGCUCAUGCACGAAAGCGUGGGGAGCAAACAGG